rnacentral:tRNA from 1 species
GUCCCGUGUGGCUCAGUUGGUAGAGCAUGGCGCUUCCAGGGUUGUGGGUUCGAGUCCCACAGGGGACC